GCCCGCGUAGCUCAGCUGGUAGAGCAGGGCUUUCGUAAAGCUCAGGUCGGUGGUUCGAUCCCACUCGCGGGCU
rnacentral:tRNA from 1 species